rnacentral:rRNA from 1 species
AUGCGGCUUAAUUCGACGCAACGCGAAGAACCUUACCAAGGCUUGACAUAUACAGGAAUACGGCAGAGAUGUCAUAGCCGCAAGGUCUGUAUACAGGUGGUGCAUGGUUGUCGUCAGCUCGUGUCGUGAGAUGUUGGGUUAAGUCCCGCAACGAGCGCAACCCUCGUUCUGUGUUGCCAGCAUUUAGUUGGGGACUCACAGGAGACUGCCGGGGUUAACUCGGAGGAAGGUGGGGAUGACGUCAAAUCAUCAUGCCCCUUAUGUCUUGGGCUGCACGCAUGUUACAAUGGCUGGUACAAACGGCUGCAAUACCGCAAGGUGGAGCGAAUCCGAGAAAGCCAGUCUCAGUUCGGAUUGGGGUCUGCAACUCGACCCCAUGAAGUCGGAGUUGCUAGUAAUCGUAGAUCAGCAACGCUACGGUGAAUACGUUCCCGGGGCUUGUACACACCGCCCGUCACGUCACGAAAGUCGGUAACACCCAGAAGUCAGUGGCCCAACCGCAAGGAGG